rnacentral:lncRNA from 1 species
UUUUUGCAGGUACUAUUCACAACGAUAGAGUCUUCUUCAUCUCGGCAUGUCAAUCUUUCGAGAUGGCAUGUUUCUUUAGUUGAAAUGGAUGGUUCUUUAAUUUGAGAAUUGGAUUUUGAGUCAGUUAAUAUUAUCUAAAAUUUGUGUAUGAGUGACUACUUGUAAAAAUUAUGGACUGAUUCCCCUCGAUGUUGAAGCUGGAUUUUAUCCAUUAUUAAAAAAACAGAGGGCGCGGAAGUAUCCUAUAAUUUUUGGGCCUGGAAUGCCCGUCGCAAUGUUGGGCCAAGCUGAAGCUGUACAAAAGAGGUGGGGUUCUUAUACGGGCCAGACGAUGCUACAUACACACUAGUAAAGGACACCGGGAGUCGAGGCGGUGAGAAAAAAGUCCCGGCAGACCAACGAAUCGCUCGCUGGGGAAGAAAAUGUAAGAUUCAACUCUAAAUAAGGCCUUGUUUAGUUGCCUGAUUUUGGUUGUCCAAAAUCAGUGCGUUAGCACUGUAGCGCACUGUAGCAUUUCGUUUGUAUUUGUAAAUUAUUGUCUAAAUAUUGACUAAUUAGGCUCAAAAGAUUCGUCUCGCAAAGUACAACCAAACUGUGCAAUUAGUUUUUGAUUUCGUCUACAUUUAGUAUUUCAUGCAUCUACGGUAAGUUUGAUAUGAUGGAGAAUCUUCUUUUUACAUAGUGUCAAAGUUGGGAUUUUGGGGAACUAAACAGGCCCUAAAUUCCAACGGAACACAUACUUGGAAGAAAAUCCGUGGCAGCAAGUCAUUCGAUUUUUGAAAUUCAAAAUAAAUGCAUCGUGUUCGGACGCAGCUAGACGCCUAGACUUCUGAUCGAGACUCGAGAGCAAGGUAAGCCACGUGGCCUCUUGUGGUUCGACCAACAGGAUACAGUACUACAGUAGUCCGAUAAUGUGGGGUCCACGCCCACCGCCUGCCAAGUUUUUUGAGGGGAAAAAAUCCGAGGGAAUAAACAGGCCGCUCCAACGGUCGGGCUCCUCGAAUUCAAAUCCGGCCGCAGUUGCCUUUAUAUCCGACCCACACGCUCCCUUCCUUCGCUUUUCCGGAUGACCCAUCGCGGAUUUCAAAUAGCUGCGCAGCCCAGCUGAACCUACCCAGAUCGGACGAGAGGAGGAGGAGACACGGCGGAGAGGAGAAGACGGAGUCACAGGAGGAGGAGGAUUGCCGCCGCCCGCAGCAGGAAGAGAGAGCAUGGACUUCCUUGCGCUCCCCCGCCGCGACCUGCAGGCGCUGUGCAAGCGCAACGGCGUCCGCGCCAACAUGACCAACGCCGCCAUGGCCGAGGCCCUCGCCGCGCUCCCCACGGUAAGGAAGCCGCCCCUCGCUCGCUCGUCCCGUCCCAUCACGCGCGUCGAAUUCAGAUCUGGGCACGGCGGGUAGCUUGCGAGCUUACACGUUCCGUAAUUUCAGGUUGAUGGGAUCGGGGAGUACGUCAAGGAGCCCGUCACCGUUCCUGCGCCAGAGGUUAAGGCGGCGGCGGCGGCGGAUGAGCAGCAGCGGGAGAAGCUGGGGAGCCCACUCCCGCGCGGCCGCCGCGUGACGGUCAAGGCGGUCCAGACGGACGGCGGCAAGGAGGAUGAGAAGCGGGAGUCGGCCAAGGAGGACGCGCCGGCACUUGCAGUUGGGCGGCGCGGUCCCAGCCGGCGCGCUCGGCCAGCUCCUGUCGUGGCGUCUUCGGUGGCCGUGCCGGUUGGAAAGGCGGAGGAAGCGGAGGACAAGCAGGGCGGCAGCAAGGAGGAGGAUCGGAGGCGGGAGGCGAACAAGGAGGAUCCGCCAGCCCCUGUCGUUGGGCGGCGCGCUGCGAGCCGCCGCGCUCGACCAGAGUUGGCAGCAGAGUCAGCGGCGGCAGGGGCGGUAGAGGAGCAGAGGAAGCAAGAUGGGAGCCCGACCCCGCGCGGCCGCCGCGGUGCGGUCAAGUCGUCCGAGCCCAUCAGACCGGAUGACUGUGAGAAGGAGGAGAAGGAGCUCAUGCGGGAGGCUGGAACGGAUGGUGCGCCGGCCCUUGGCGUCGGACGUCGUGGUGCCAGCCGGCGCGCUCGCCCCGCGCCAGCGUUGGCUGAGCCGGCGGGCAAGGUAACAGAGGAGGAGAAGGCGCCACCGAUUCCUCGCGAUCGCCAUGUCAAGCUGAACGACGACAAGGAGGAUACAAAAGCAGCUACGAAGCCAGAAGGGGAGGAAGACGCGCCAGCACUGGGCGUUGGUCAUCGCGGUGCCUGCCGGCGUGUUCGGCGCGCGCCUGCUGUGUCAGGCAAGGUAGCAGCAGAGGCUGAGCCACGGGCUCUGAUCCCACGUGGCCACGGCGUUCCUGUCAAGUCACCCGAGGUUACCAGGCUGGACGAUAGCGAGGACGAGGAAAAGGAGGACACGAAGCCGGAUGAGAAGGACGAUGAAGCGCCUGCAAUUGGCGUGGGUCGGCGUGGUGCCAGCCAGCGCGCCCCCGCCCCUGCAGAUUCUCCGGCUACGAGAAGAAGGGCUGCAACAAGUAAAGCUGAGGCAGUAGGUGUGACCGAGGAGGCUGUGCCCAUGCGGGCCACUCGUCACCGUAAGCCAACUAUGAAAGCGGCCGCGGUGGCAGAGGAGAAGGCGCUGCCAAAGGCGACAAGAAGGAAGGCGGUAAAGAAGACCAUUUCGCAGCAGGAGGAACAAGAAAACCCACAAGGUGAACUUCAACAAUAUCUAACACUCCAAGGGAGAGAUUACAAUAUACAGCCCCAAGGGUCCAGUCCAGCCAGGACUUUAUCUACAAGAUAUUCUAGUUACAAACUUAUAUAACAAGAUAGCAACAAAUCUAUCUACAACUACCUGGCCGAACCAAAGCUCUUUGAGUCGAUUACAAUUGAACUUCAACAAUAUCUAACAAGAUUGACUUGAUCCCAAUCAAUUCAUUUCUGUGGACGAACUGAGCGCUGGUUUUGCUUAUGCCAAUUUUGAUUUCUGAACCUUGCGUCGUCUCUUAUGCAGAGGCUGUGCCUGCUCCAGUUUCUGACGUGGGAUGUGAUAACCCUGAAGACCCGGAAGAGGAUUCUGGCCCUCAGAAGAGAGAGCAAAAACAAAAGGAUGAAGGUGAGACCUGCACAUGAUGUGUCCGCUCCCAUUUCUUCUUGGUACCUGCUUUGCUGUGUCAUUGACUGAUAUAGCCGUUUUUGUGUUCAUUGUUCAAUUUCUGUUCAAUUUGGAAUUUCAUUGUUGUUCAACUUGGAAUUUCAGAUGUGGUGAUCAUUGAGGAUGAGAUACUGAUGGAAGAGAACCCGGCACAAGAGCUACUUGUGACCAAUCAGGAAUCCAUGGAUCAUUCAACACUGCAAGGACAACAAGUGGGUGUUGAGAACUGUCCUGCUCCUUCGGCCAGCCAGGAGGAUUCACCUAUCAUGGGUCUCGUUUCAAUGGCAACAGAACAGGCAGCUGAGAAGGACGAAUGUGCCAAUUUUCAGGAUGGUAAAGGAUCCUGCGGGUCAUUGGACAAGGGGGUGUCCGAUAAGAACCAUGAUGCCGGUGAAGAGAUAGAAAAGUUGUCCAUCAUCCAGGGGCUGCAGGCCUCACCGACAGAAGACCACAUUGAGGAAGUUGUCACUGAUGAUGCUAACCAUGAAAGUGAAAUGCGGAAUUUCAAUGAAGUACUGCAUGGCACAGAGGAAACCAGUGAGGCUAAUGCAGAAGAUGAUAUUGUCAGUCAGGACAAGGAAGAUAUCACUAUCGAUGAGUUGCAGGCUGACUUGGCAGAUGGGUCUGUUCUUGUUCAUUGCUCAGGGAAUAUCAAACUGUUUGUCGAAGAGGAGACCAAUGAGGUCAAUACUGAAGACGGUGUUUCUUUUCAGGAGAAGGGAGAUGUGGCUGUUGAUAUGGCACUGCCUGACACAGUGGCUGAGGCCAUUCCUUCUGGUUGCUCAAUUGAUAUCAGCUGUGUUGAAGUGGAGAAGGCAGGAUACAUCACUAGUGAGAUGUCUGAGAGCCCAGCUGCAUUGGAUGAGGAUGGUGAGGUAACAAACCUGUACGCUGAUAUCUGUCAUGCCGAUAAACCGAGUGAGGUGGUCAUUGGUGACAGUGUGUCCCAAGUCACAGUACCGGACAGCAAAGUUGUUCAGGAGGAAAAGGUGGUAGUGAUUACUGAUGAGAUGCCAUGGAGCACAGCUGCGAUGCAUGAGGACGUCGAGGAAGAUCAGUUUCAAACUAUUUUUAUUCAUGCUGCUGACAGUCUGCCGGAAGUUAAAAUGAUAGAUUAUGAAGUUGAGGAGAAGACAUCAAUGAUCAUUGAUGAGCAGCAGCAGAGCACGGUUACAAUCGAUGAAGAUGUUGUCGACAACCAUUUGGAAACUGAUGUUGUUCAUGCUGAUGAACAUAAGGAAGCGGUAACUAUUGAUGAAGUGCCAGAAUCCACAGGGACAGACGGUGAAGUUCUUGAGGAGGACAAGGCAGCUGUGAUCACUGAGGAGGUGCCACAGAGCACUGGUAAAAUGGAUGAGCAUGAAGAGGAAGAUCAGUUCCAAACUGCUUUUGUUCAUGAUGAUCAAGUAGUCACUGCUGACAGCGUGCCAGAUCUGAAAAUAACAGGUUGUGAACCAAUUGAGGACAAGACAACACUGAUAACUGAUGAGAAGCAACAGAGCACAGUCACAAUGGAUGAAGAUGUUGUCGAUGAUCAUUUCGAAACUGAUGCUGUCCAUGCCGAUGAUCACAAGAAAGUGGUAACUGCUGAUGAAGUGCCAGAACUCACAGGGACAGAUGAUGAAGUUGUUGGGGAGGAUAAGGCAGUUGUGACUGCUGAGGAGGUGCCACAGAGCACAGGUACCGAUGAGGAAGUCGAGGAAGAUCAGUUCCAAACUUUUUUUGUUCAUGCUGAACAAGUACUCACUUCUGACAGUGUGUCUGAUCUGAAAAUAACAGAUUGUGAAGAGAAAACGACACUGAUCAUUGAUGAGAAGCAACAGAGCACAGUUACAAUGGAUGAAGCUGAUGUUAGUGAUUAUUCCGAAACUGAUGAAUUGAAGGAAGUGGCAACUGAUGACAAAGUGCCACAACUCACAGGGACAGAGGGUGAAGUUGUUGAGGAGGAUAAGGCAGUUGUGAUCACAGAUGAGGAUGACUGGAAGGAGAGUGCAUUCACCAGUGAUCUUCCUCAAGAGCUCGAUGUUUCAGAAGAAUCCAAAGAUCGCAUAACUCCAGCACUGGUUGAUGAUGCCACUGAGUCCCUGUCCAAUAGCAUCCUCACUGUGGAGCCAGCUGCGUCCAUAGCUGCAGACGCAUCAGUGUGCAAGAACAGCAUCGAGAAGAACACUACUGAACUUGUGGCAAUGCAAGAUGAGAAGGUAGUAAAGGUGAACAAGAAAUCUGUGGAUUUGUACGCAUUUAGCCUACGGCAGCUCAAAACCAAGCUCAAGGAGGGGCUGAACGCCAAGAAGGUAAUGAACCAAUCAGCUCCACUCUGUUACUAUUCUGAUAUCUGAUUUGAAUACUGAACUGCCUCUAAUUUGCAGAACAAAGAAGCAAAGAGGGUGGCCCUUGCUAGAGUGGACGAGAAUGUGUGUCGAUCCCACACAAAGGGCCAGCAGCAGAACCUGAAUCUGCAACAGCAUUAACCCGGAGAAGAAGCCGCGGCUCUGAACUCUGACCAUAUCAUAUUUGCGUGCCAGAUGGUAUCAGGUUGUUCUGAAACCAUGGUUUCUCCGACCUUGGCAUCUAACCUAUAUUUGUGCUUGUUCUUUCGUGUGUUUGCGUGUUUGCUUGGAGAGGCAUGAGGCGAUUCGGCUGUAUUUUGUCAAGUCUAAUCGUAGGCUAGUACCCAGCUUUGAACUGUGAGUGGUUUGCUGGUGUUGGUUGCCUGUCUUAUUUUGAACUCCCAUUACUCGUUGGGAAAACCUGCUUAUAUAUAUUUAUGUAUCGUGCAAUAACAAGGUAGCAUCAGACUGUUUGGAAAUGAGUCAUGAAGCAUCGUUUGCUCGAUGUGGUAUCUUCCCUUUGGAUGCAGUAAAGUUAACUGUACACUUUUUCUGCCCCCAACAAUCCCUUCCACGGGCCUCAGCAGAACGUGUGAUUUCAGGCCUUCAGAAUUCAAAUCGGCAAAAUUCGAGAGUACAGGUACAGCUAUCUGCGUUUGGAGUUUGGACGAAUCUGAAUUUCGGAAAAUAAUCUGAACAUGAAGUGGAAUGCUCUAAACUUGUCUGCCACAGUAACAAUCCACAUGAAUACAUAUGGUCCUUGUUCCUCGGCCACCAUUCUUAAAUCCUGCACGCAUCUUCAUUCAGAUUCAGAUCGAAAUGCUACCAUCAGAUGGAGCUCGUCCACAGCCAGGUUAUCCGAGGCACGGAAACAAAUUUGACCCUGCCACGAGGUUGUGUGGCUCGUCCACAGCCAAAUUGGGAGUGCUCCAGUUGGCCACAGCGUCGCUGCCACAAUAUAUUAUUGGAUCCACUAUACCACUAUAUUGGAGCUACAUGAUGCCCAAACGCGGAACACGUCGAUCAAACAGUAACCAUUGUCACGAGUCACACACAAGUCACAACCACUCAAUCGCUGAUUCAGCCAUGUGGUUUUUUCUCACACGUCGUCCUCAACCAUGAAUGCCAAUGACAGCGAUUUCAAACCAAAAACAGAAAAGAAGCCGUACACGCACGUAUCUGGAAAUCUUUAUACUAGCUGUUAUCGAAUACUUGCACUACUAGCACUGAUUGGGACACUAGUGUAUCACAUCCACAGGCAACACCAACCCACAUUUGCGCGCUCCGUUCCAGGCAGCACCAACACGCCGUCGAAUGAAACCAUCUGUGUUCGUGGUUGAGUUUGGUGGAACAAACCUACCAAACGUGCAGAUUAACAAAAGCAGAUCCUUGCUCCGAAAAAAAAGGGCAGAUCAGAAAAAGAAUUCAUGUCAUAGAUUAGCAAGAUCAUAACAUACUUACAAACCUAAUGUCAGAUUCGAAAAGCUUUGAAGAAAUGUCAAUAUAGCAUGCUCAAUUGACCAAAAACCUCACUGCCACGAAAAUAUUCAAUCCCGAAGAGGCAGGGCAGGCGACGAACUCAUCGUAACGUUAAACACGUCGAUACAGCACCAGCCACUCGCCCACUCCAAUUCAGCCGUAAUCACGUGACAAGCGUGGUUACCGAUUGCUAAACAAUCACCGAUUGGAUUCAUGUCGCCCUCUACUCUGAAUUCCUGAUGCGGACUGAUUUGAUUUCAAACCAAAACGAAACCAACCAUAAUUGAAGGGCAUCAAGGACAUGAAACAUGCGCAAACCAGUGACCCGAACACUUAUAUAACACGGAUAAAGGACGCAGGUACAUCACACCCACAAGCAGGACAUGCGCGCAUCUCCUGCUUGCUCUUAUUACAGGCACGGGCACGAGCAUCACGUUGCUACUACAGCUACUACCAGUCCUGAUGCACGCCAUGCCUGAUACUACUACCAUAAACCCAGUAUUAGCACAGCCACACUACUACUUCCAAGCAGUAUUAUAUCGGUCGAUAAGCAAGGGAGCCCAGCGGAGCAGAGUGAUAGGAGUAUCAGUGCCGGGCUCUCACAAACUUAUCGGCAGUGGGCUGACGGCCGGCCUCAGGCGGCGGGGGGCGGCUUCUCGACGUCCUCAAGGGGGCGGAACCACACCUUCUGGUCCAGCACCGAGCCCGCACCAUUCGCGGCGGCGUCCGGCGCGCCGGCGGCCUUGUUGGCGUCCACCGCCGCGGGGCCGAACACGCCGGUCUUGGGGUGGGGGCCCCAGUACUUGUCGGGGUUGGCGGCGCCGCCGAUCACAUCGUCCGGCACGAACGCCGGGCGCACCUGGUCCUCCAGGUUCUUGUCGUACGCCGAGGCGUGCACGGCCCUCCUGCACAAGGUCGCAUCCAGUCAGAACUCAGAAUGGUGGACGAGCAAACGAGUGUCUGACGAUCCUUGUGACAAACAUGGUUUUAACAAGAGUGCUUAAGAUCCGAUGAAUGAAUAAUCGUUCUGCAAGCAACGAUGAUACCACAAUCCCAGGACAUGUCACGACAAAACAACGACAGAAACCAGGACAACCCCGGGAUCCCGAUACCAAGGCAGACUGAUCUCGUUCGCUGCAUUGUGCGCACCGUGCGACAGGUUCAAGUUCUCCUGAAUCAAGGUUACUGCUAGCACUUGUUUCAUGUUCGCAAGAAAUUUUGAAGACGCACGAGGCGUUGCAUGCCAAAACCUUAGCAAACUCUUUUAAAAAAACCCUUAGCAAACACGAAGCGGCACACCAGCCCAUGGCGAUGGCGCACGUGCCCCCGCCUCCGCCUCCACCUCCACCGCUCCACGCACGGGCGCGCGCGCGCGUGCACAUGGGCGGGCCGUGAAGAGGAUACGCGAGCGAGCGAGAGAAGGCGAGGGCACGACACGACGGCCGAAGCAGCUCGCUGUUCGGUGGGUGCGGAUAAGAGCGAGGCGGGACCGGAUCGAGUCCCAUCCGUACCGCACCACGCCCCGGUCACCCUGCACCGUCCGAUGGGCUUGUCACCUAGCAGAAGGCCCCGGCAACGGACGGCCCCGAUCCGGUCGUCGGCCCUGUGCAGAACAGCCCACAGCAAAUCCAGCGAUGAUGGGAUCGAAAGGGAAUCGUACGGGCCGGACGCGAAAGGAUGGGCCCGCCGGACGUCCGGGCUUCUGGUUCUCGGGCCCCACCGCCAGACGGAGACCCACUUCUGCCUCAGACCUCAAGAGAAAGAAACCUUUGAGUGGAAACCAAGAGAAAGAAACCUUCGGGUGGAAACCUGAGCGACGGAUGGCGGGUGGAGCGACAACCGACAACUACCGCGCACCAGACUCAUCUAUCCAUCUCUAUCUCCAAUUCGCCACCGAGAACUUUUCCGAAAGUGAAGCGUUGGGCGCGGCUUGGUGUACACAUCCUGUGUGCGUGGCUGUGUCGCCACUGCUGCUUCUCAUCUUCUUUGUGUGGGUGCGCCUGGAGCUGGAGUGGAGUGUGGUCAGUGUGGGGCCUUGCCUUUUCCUCCCUAGCAGAGGCAAGAGUUUUUUUGCGGAUUUUGAUGGACUGAACUGGGCAGUAAAAAUAUCUCCGUGGAUCUCACUUGAUCGAUCGGGAGUCUGCUAGUUCGAGCGUGCAAGAUGAUUAGGUGAAGUGCCAGCCUUCCAGUUUCCAGGUGCUCUUGCCUAUUGUGUUCUCACACGGUCAGAUGAUCACUAAACAGCUGGGCGAUGUUCCCAACGCAGAGGAUUGCCGUAUCUAGAUCAUGUAAGAAGACGAUCCUUCAAGUUUAGCAGUAACGUCUAGACAUGUAAUCGCAUAAUAAAUCGACAGAAUACAAGAUUAUCUGCUGAAUCAGUGGUUAACCACAAAAGCUAAACAUUCGUACUACCAUGUCGGAAGAAAAGCUGCAGGGAACGCUAUGCAAAGCACCGAAAGCCCGAAAGCAAAUCUAAAGGAUGGCCUAAAAAGCACAUCUCUCUGCUACAACAAGAUCAUGGACGAACUUAACAAGAACACUCGCCUACAGAAAUACUCCUACUCCCUUGUCGGAGGAAAAGCUGCAAGCAACACUAAGCAAAGCUAGGAGGCCUAAAAACAAAUCUCUCUGCAACAACAAGAUCUUGGGCGAGCUUAGCAAGAACAAUCGCCUACAAGAACUAGGCGAAAAUAAAUCACACGACAAUAACCGCAAGCGGGCAUGCCAGGUGGCCGUCGUUCGUCAUGUACCUCGGGGAGGCGGCG